rnacentral:misc_RNA from 1 species
AAAAAGUACAUUAAACUUGGAGGAAUCACUAAACGAUUUCCUAGUCCUUGUAACAGUAGCAAACAAGAAAUACAUUACAGAAUCACUAAACGAUUUCCCAGUCCCUGUAACAGUUGCAAACGAGAAAUACAUUACAGAAUGUGCACAAGCUCAAGCUUCCAAUGCUCUUUCAAAGCCAAUCCUGCUGCUGCAGCUUCAGUGGCAAAUAAACUUCAGACAAGUACUGAAACCCAAAG